GGCUCAGAACGAACGCUGGCGGCGUGCCUAACACAUGCAAGUCGAACGAGAAAGCGGGGGCAACUCCGCGAGUAAAGUGGCGACCGGGUGAGUAACACGUGACCAAUCUGCCCUCGAGUGGGGGAUAACUCCGGGAAACCGGAGCUAAUACCGCAUAACAUCUUUGGGACGCAGGUCCUGAUGAUCAAAGGAGCAAUUCGCUUGAGGAGGGGGUCGCGGCUGAUUAGCUAGUUGGCGGGGUAAUGGCCCACCAAGGCAAAGAUCGGUAGCCGGCCUGAGAGGGCGCACGGCCACACUGGAACUGAAACACGGUCCAGACUCCUACGGGAGGCAGC
rnacentral:rRNA from 1 species